AAGGGGGCUAGGGUUGUUCGAAUUUAUGAGCAUAAAACAAAUUUAGGCGGAUCUUUAAGUCAGGGGUAAAUACCGGGGCUUCAAACCCCGGAAAUGCCAUUUGAUAAUGGGGAUCUCAAAUCCCGGAAAAGUGAGCGGAAAUGCGAGAGUAGAGGUGAAAUUCAAGAUAUUCGCAAGGAACACCAGUGGCGAAGGCGGGCUAACUGGCCCCGGUACUGACCGUUGAAGUGCUAAAAGCGUGGGGAGCCAACAAGGAUUUAGGAUACCCUGGUAGUACACGCCAGUAAAACGAUGAUGCUACCGUUUAGGCAGACUUUGCUGCUAGUGGCCGCAGGUUAACCGCUUUUAAGCAAUCCCGCCUGGGGAGUACGGUCGCAAAGAUUNAAAACUCAAAAGGAAUUNGACGGGGGCUCCGCACAAGCGGUGGAGCAUGUGGUUUAAUUNGAAGCAANCGCGCAGAACCUUACCAGCUCUUGACAUGUCGCNUAUGGGGNCCGGAGACGGCUUCCUUCAGUUCGGCUGGCGCGAACACAGGUGCUGCAUGGCUGUCGUCAGCUCGUGUCGUGAGAUNUUGGGUUAAGUCCCGCAACGAGCGCAACCCUCGNCCUUAGUUGCCAUUAUUNNGUUGNGCACUCUAGGGGGACUGCCGGUGAUAAGCCGAGAGGAAGGUGGGGAUGACGUCAAGUCCUCAUGGCCCUUACGGGCUGGGCUACACACGUGCUACAAUGGCGGUGACAGUGGGAUGCGGAGGGGCGACCCCGAGCAAAUCUCAAAAAGCCGUCUCAGUUCGGAUUGCGCUCUGCAACUCGAGCGCAUGAAGGUGGAAUCGCUAGUAAUCGUAGAUCAGAACGCUACGGUGAAUACGUUCCCGGGCCUUGUACACACCGCCCGUCACACCAUGGGAGUUGGUUCUAGCCCGAAAGGCGUUUUCUUAACCCAGCCAAGGUAAACUUGAUGGGGAGAGGGCGACCACGGUAAGGGUCAGCGACCGCUUAA
rnacentral:rRNA from 1 species